AUUGGACGCUGGUUGCCUGCUUUACGCAUGCUAGUCAAACGGCAGCGGGGAGGAUCUUGCUUCUCUGCCGGCGAGUGGCGAACGGGUGAGUAAUACAUCUUAUCGUGUCUGAGAAGAGGGGGAUAACCCCCCGAAAGGGUGGCUGAUACCGCAUAAAUUCUGAGGAACAAAGCUGGGGAGCUAGGAAUAGAGCCUAGCGCUUUUUGAGCGGCCGAUGUCUUGAUUACCUAGUUGGUGAUGUAAAGGCUCACCAUGGCGAAGAUCUGUAACGGGUCUGAGAGGAUGAUCCGCCACACUGGGACUGAGACUCUGCCCAGACUCCUACAGGAGGCACCUGCGGGGAAUUUUGGACUAUGGGGGCAACCCUGAUCCACCCUUGCCGCGUGUAUGAAGAAAGCCUUAGGGUUGUAAAGGACUUUUGUUAUGGAACAAAAUUCACCUGUGACUCCUGGCUGAGACUGACGGCCCCUCAAUAAUAUGCACCGGCUAACUACGUGCCAUCCUCCGCGGUAAUACUGAUGGUGCGAGCGUCUGUCGCAAUUAUGGGGCGAAACGCGAGUGUACACAGUUAUCUUCGCCAGAUGUGAAAUACCCCAGCCUAACUUGGGAGGUGCAUAUGGAACUGGGUAGCUAGAGUGUGUCAGAGGGAGGUAGAACUCCACGUGUAGCAGUGAAAUGCGUAGAGAUGUGGAAGAAUACCGAUGGCGAAGGCAGCCUCCUGGGAUAACACUGACGUUGAGGCUCGAAAGCGUGGGGGGCAAACAGGAUUAGAUACCCUGGUAGUCCACGCCCUAAACGAUGACAAUUAGCUGUUGGCCCCAUUAAGGGGUGAGUAGCGAAGCUAACGCGUGAAAUUGUCCGCCUGGGGAGUACGGACGCAAGAUUAAAACUCCAAGGAAUUGACGGGGACCCGCACAAGCGGUGGAUGAUGUGGAUUAAUUCGAUGCAACGAGAAGAACCUUACCUGGUCUUGACAUGUACAGAAGGUGUUAGAGAUAAGACUGUGCCUUCGGGAACUGUAACACAGGUGCUGCACGGCCGUCGUCAGCUCGUGUCGUGAGAUGAUGGGUUAAGUCCCGCAACGAGCGCAACCCUUGUCAUUAGUUGCCAUCAUUAAGUUGGGCACUCUAACGAGACCGCCGGUGAUAAACCGGAGGAAGGUGGGGAGGAAGCCAAGUCAUCAUGGCCCUUAGGACCAGGGGGUCACACGUCAUACAAGGGUAGGUACAGAGGGUAGCGAAGCGGUGACGGGAAGCCAAUCUGGGAAAGCCUAUGGUAGUCCGGAGUCGUAGUGUGCAACUCGGAGGCACGAAGUCGGAAUCGCUAGUAAUGGCAGAUCAGCAUGUGGCGGUGAACACGUUCCCGGCUCG
rnacentral:rRNA from 1 species